GAUGAACGCUGGCGGCGUGCCUAAUACAUGCAAGUCGAGCGAACGGACGAGAAGCUUGCUUCUCUGAUGUUAGCGGCGGACGGGUGAGUAACACGUGGAUAACCUACCUAUAAGACUGGGAUAACUUCGGGAAACCGUAGCUAAUACCGGAUAAUAUUUUGAACCGCAUGGUUCAAAAGUGAAAGACGGUCUUGCGGUCACUUAUAGAUGGAUCCGCGCUGCAUUAGCUAGUUGGUAAGGUAACGGCUUACCAAGGCAACGAUGCAUAGCCGACCUGAGAGGGUGAUCGGCCACACUGGAACUGAGCCACGGUCCAGACUCCUACGGGGGGCAGCAGUAGGGAAUCUUCCGCAAUGGGCGAAAGCCUGACGGAGCAACGCCGCGUGAGUGAUGAAGGUCUUCGGAUCGUAAAACUCUGUUAUUAGGGAAGAACAUAUGUGUAAGUAACUGUGCACAUCUUGACGGUACCUAAUCAGAAAGCCACGGCUAACUACGUG
rnacentral:rRNA from 1 species